rnacentral:rRNA from 1 species
GUGUCAGCAGCCGCGGUAAUACAGAGGUCCCAAGCGUUGUUCGGAUUCACUGGGCGUAAAGGGUGCGUAGGUGGUGGGGUAAGUCGGAUGUGAAAUCUCCGAGCUCAACUCGGAAAUGGCAUUGGAAACUACCCUGCUAGAGGGUCGGAGGGGGGACUGGAAUACUUGGUGUAGCAGUGAAAUGCGUAGAUAUCAAGUGGAACACCAGUGGCGAAGGCGAGUCCCUGGACGACUCCUGACACUGAGGCACGAAAGCUAGGGGAGCAAACAGGAUUAGAUACCCUGGUAGUCC